rnacentral:sRNA from 1 species
GCUGGGUGUGGUGGCACCUGCCUGUAAUCCCAGCAGCUCAGGAGGCUGAGGCAGGAGGAUCACGAUUUCAAAGCCAGCCUGUGAGGUGCUAAGCAACUCAGUGAGACCCUGUCUCUA